AAAUUGAAGAGUUUGAUCAUGGCUCAGAUUGAACGCUGGCGGCAGGCCUAACACAUGCAAGUCGAACGGUAACAGGAAGCAGCUUGCUGCUUCGCUGACGAGUGGCGGACGGGUGAGUAAUGUCUGGGAAACUGCCUGAUGGAGGGGGAUAACUACUGGAAACGGUGGCUAAUACCGCAUAACGUCGCAAGACCAAAGAGGGGGACCUUCGGGCCUCUUGCCAUCAGAUGUGCCCAGAUGGGAUUAGCUAGUUGGUGAGGUAACGGCUCACCAAGGCGACGAUCCCUAGCUGGUCUGAGAGGAUGACCAGCCACACUGGAACUGAGACACGGUCCAGACUCCUACGGGAGGCAGCAGUGGGGAAUAUUGCACAAUGGGCGCAAGCCUGAUGCAGCCAUGCCGCGUGUAUGAAGAAGGCCUUCGGGUUGUAAAGUACUUUCAGCGGGGAGGAAGGUGUUGUGGUUAAUAACCACAGCAAUUGACGUUACCCGCAGAAGAAGCACCGGCUAACUCCGUGCCAGCAGCCGCGGUAAUACGGAGGGUGCAAGCGUUAAUCGGAAUUACUGGGCGUAAAGCGCACGCAGGCGGUCUGUCAAGUCGGAUGUGAAAUCCCCGGGCUCAACCUGGGAACUGCAUUCGAAACUGGCAGGCUUGAGUCUUGUAGAGGGGGGUAGAAUUCCAGGUGUAGCGGUGAAAUGCGUAGAGAUCUGGAGGAAUACCGGUGGCGAAGGCGGCCCCCUGGACAAAGACUGACGCUCAGGUGCGAAAGCGUGGGGAGCAAACAGGAUUAGAUACCCUGGUAGUCCACGCCGUAAACGAUGUCUACUUGGAGGUUGUGCCCUUGAGGCGUGGCUUCCGGAGCUAACGCGUUAAGUAGACCGCCUGGGGAGUACGGCCGCAAGGUUAAAACUCAAAUGAAUUGACGGGGGCCCGCACAAGCGGUGGAGCAUGUGGUUUAAUUCGAUGCAACGCGAAGAACCUUACCUGGUCUUGACAUCCACAGAAGAAUCCAGAGAUGGAUUUGUGCCUUCGGGAACUGUGAGACAGGUGCUGCAUGGCUGUCGUCAGCUCGUGUUGUGAAAUGUUGGGUUAAGUCCCGCAACGAGCGCAACCCUUAUCCUUUGUUGCCAGCGGUUAGGCCGGGAACUCAAAGGAGACUGCCAGUGAUAAACUGGAGGAAGGUGGGGAUGACGUCAAGUCAUCAUGGCCCUUACGACCAGGGCUACACACGUGCUACAAUGGCGCAUACAAAGAGAAGCGACCUCGCGAGAGCAAGCGGACCUCAUAAAGUGCGUCGUAGUCCGGAUUGGAGUCUGCAACUCGACUCCAUGAAGUCGGAAUCGCUAGUAAUCGUGGAUCAGAAUGCCACGGUGAAUACGUUCCCGGGCCUUGUACACACCGCCCGUCACACCAUGGGAGUGGGUUGCAAAAGAAGUAGGUAGCUUAACCUUCGGGAGGGCGCUUACCACUUUGUGAUUCAUGACUGGGGUGAAGUCGUAACAAGGUAACCGUAGGGGAACCUGCGGUUGGAUCACCUCCUUA
rnacentral:rRNA from 3 species